CCUACGGGUGGCAGCAGUGAGGAAUAUUGGUCAAUGGGCGCGAGCCUGAACCAGCCAAGUCGCGUGAGGGAAGACGGCCCUACGGGUUGUAAACCUCUUUUGCCGGGGAGCAACGGGCGCCACGUGUGGCGCCACUGAGAGUACCCGGAGAAAAAGCAUCGGCUAACUCCGUGCCAGCAGCCGCGGUAAUACGGAGGAUGCGAGCGUUAUCCGGAUUUAUUGGGUUUAAAGGGGGCGUAGGGGGAGCGUUAAGUCAGUGGUGAAAUUGAGGGGCUCAACCCCUUCCCGCCGUUGAAACGGGCGCUCUGGAGUGGAAGAGAAGUAUGCGGAAUGCGGGGUGUAGCGGUGAAAUGCAUAGAUAUCGCGCAGAACCCCGGUUGCGAAGGCGGCAUGCCGGCUUCCGACUGACGCUGAAGCACGAAAGCGUGGGGAUCGAACAGGAUUAGAUACCCUGGUAGUC
rnacentral:rRNA from 1 species